GUCGAACGCUGGCGGCAGGCCUAAUACAUGCAAGUCGAACGAGUGGCGGACGGGUGAGUAAUGUCUGGGAAACUGCCUGCUGGAGGGGGAUAACUACUGGAAACGGUAGCUAAUACCGCAUACCACCAUAUCUGCCCAGAUGGGUUUAGCUAGUUGGUGGGGUAUCGGCUCACCAAGGCGACGAUCCCUAGCCGGUCUGAGAGGAUGACCGGCCACACUGGAACUGAGACACGGUCCAGACUCCUACGGGAGGCAGCAGUGGGAAAUAUUGCACAAUGGGCGCAAGCCGGAUGCAGCCAUGCCGCGUGUAUGAAGAGGGCCUUCGGGUUGUAAAGUACUUUCAGCAGGGAGGCGUUACCCGCAGAAGAAGCACCGGCUAACUCCGUGCCAGCAGCCGCGGUAAUUC
rnacentral:rRNA from 1 species